GACGAACGCUGGCGGCGUGCUUAACACAUGCAAGUCGAGGGGGUUCGUGGGGCAACUCACGGAUCACCGGCGAACGGGUGCGUAACACGUGAGCGACCUGCCGUACCUGUGGGGGAUAGCCGGCCCAACGGCCGGGUAAUACCGCAUACGCUUGUCUUGGGGCAUCCUGGGACAAAGAAAGCUCUGGGGGCAACCCUGGGGCGCAGGACGAGGGGCUCGCGGCCUAUCAGCUAGUUGGCGGGGAACGGCCCACCAAGGCGACGACGGGUAGCUGGUCUGAGAGGAUGGCCAGCCACAUUGGGACUGAGAGACGGCCCAGACUCCUACGGGAGGCAGCAGUGGGGAAUCUUGCGCAAUGGCCGAAAGGCUGACGCAGCGACGCCGCGUGUGGGAUGAAGCAUUUCGGUGUGUAAACCACUGUUGCCCGGGACGAACAGCUCUUUUCGAGGAGCCUGACGGUACCGGGUGAGGAAGCACCGGCUAACUCCGUGCCAGCCGCCGCCGUAAC
rnacentral:rRNA from 1 species